UACGAAGGGGGCUAGCGUUGUUCGGAAUUACUGGGCGUAAAGCGCACGUAGGCGGAUAUUUAAGUCAGGGGUGAAAUCCCGGGGCUCAACCCCGGAACGGCCUUUGAUACUGGAUGUCUUGAGUCCGGAAGAGGUGAGUGGAAUUGCGAGUGUAGAGGUGAAAUUCGUAGAUAUUCGCAGGAACACCAGUGGCGAAGGCGGCUCACUGGUCCGGAACUGACGCUGAGGUGCGAAAGCGUGGGGAGCAAACAGG
rnacentral:rRNA from 1 species